rnacentral:misc_RNA from 1 species
GAAAUGCGAUAAGUAAUGUGAAUUGCAGAAUUCAGUGAAUCAUCGAAUCUUUGAACGCACCUUGCGCUCCUUGGUAUUCCUUGGAGCAUGCCUGUUUGAGUAUCAUGAAAUCUUCAAAGUAGAUCUUUUGUUAACUCAAUUGGUUUCUACUUUGGUAUUGGAGGUCUUUGCAGCUUCACACCUGCUCCUCUUUGUUCAUUAGCUGGAUCUCAGUGUUAUGCUUGGUUCCACUCGGCGUGAUAAGUUAUCUAUCGCUGAGGACACUGUAAAAGGUGGCCAAGGUAAAUGCAGAUAAACCGCUUCUAAUAGUCCAUUGACUUGGACAAUACUUUUAUGAUCUGAUCUCAAAUCAGGUAGGACUACCCGCUGAACUUAAGC